GAUGAACGCUGGCGGCGUGCCUAAUACAUGCAAGUCGAGCGAACAGACGAGGAGCUUGCUCCUCUGACGUUAGCGGCGGACGGGUGAGUAACACGUGGAUAACCUACCUAUAAGACUGGGGUAACUUCGGGAAACCGGAGCUAAUACCGGAUAAUAUAUUGAACCGCAUGGUUCAAUAGUGAAAGACGGUUUUGCUGACACUUAUAGAUGGAUCCGCGCCGCAUUAGCUAGUUGGUAAGGUAACGGCUUACCAAGGCAACGAUGCGUAGCCGACCUGAGAGGGUGAUCGGCCACACUGGAACUGAGACACGGUCCAGACUCCUACGGGAGGCAGCAGUAGGGAAUCUUCCGCAAUGGGCGAAAGCCUGACGGAGCAACGCCGCGUGAGUGAUGAAGGUCUUCGGAUCGUAAAACUCUGUUAUUAGGGAAGAACAAAUGUGUAAGUAACUAUGCACGUCUUGACGGUACCUAAUCAGAAAGCCACGGCUAACUACGUG
rnacentral:rRNA from 1 species